rnacentral:rRNA from 1 species
UUACUUAUGUUACGACUUAUUCUAUCUUAUAAAUAAAAGUGACGGGCGAUUUGUAUAUAUAUAAAAAUUAAAUUCAAAUAAAUUAAUUAAUUAAUUUUACUUUUAAAUCCUAAAUUUUUAAAAAAUUAAAUUUUUAAAAAUUAUUUUAAAUAUAGUAACUCAUUUAAUCUUUAAUAUAACUACAUAUUGAUCUGAAAUAAAUUUUUAUAUAAAUUUUUAAUAAUAAUAAUUAUACUUAAUUUUUUAACGAACAUACAUAAAUUUAAUUAAAGUUAUUCUUAUCGUGGAUUAUCAAUUCAUAAACAAGUUCCCCUAAAUAAAUUUAUAUACUAUCAUAUUUAAAAUUUUUCAUUAACUUACUAAAUUUAAUUUAAUUUAAAUAAUAGGGUAUCUAAUCCUAGUUUA